rnacentral:rRNA from 1 species
UACGGAGGGUGCAAGCGUUAUCCGGAUUCACUGGGUUUAAAGGGUGCGUAGGUGGGCAAGUAAGUCAGUGGUGAAAUCUCCGGGCUUAACCCGGAAACUGCCAUUGAUACUAUUUGUCUUGAAUACUGUGGAGGUCAGCGGAAUAUGUCAUGUAGCGGUGAAAUGCUUAGAUAUGACAUAGAACACCAAUUGCGAAGGCAGCUGGCUACACAAAUAUUGACACUGAGGCACGAAAGCGUGG